rnacentral:rRNA from 1 species
AGCGAACGCUGGCGGCAGGCCUAACACAUGCAAGUCGAACGAACCUUUCGGGGUUAGUGGCGGACGGGUGAGUAACACGUGGGAACGUGCCUUUAGGUUCGGAAUAACUCAGGGAAACUUGUGCUAAUACCGAAUGUGCCCUUCGGGGGAAAGAUUAAUCGCCUUUAGAGCGGCCCGCGUCUGAUUAGCUAGUUGGUUGAGGUAAUGGCUCACCAAGGCGACGAACAGUAGCUGGUCUGAGAGGAUGAUCAGCCACAUUGGGACUGAGACACGGCCCAAACUCCUACGGGAGGCAGCAGUGGGGAAUCUUGCGCAAUGGGCGAAAGCCUGACGCAGCCAUGCCGCGUGAAUGAUGAAGGUCUUAGGAUUGUAAAAUUCUUUCACCGGGGACGAUAAUGACGGUACCCGGAGAAGAAGCCCCGGCUAACUUCGUG